AGUAGUAGUAUAUGUAUAUGGAUUUAGUUUUUCAACCUCUGACACAGAAAAAUAUCCCAUGCGCUUUCUUAGAGGUUUUCUACAUUUCAAGAUUGACAUAGAGAUGAUGCUUGGUAGAACUAUAUUUACUACUGUGACGUUUUAUUUCUUUGGAGUCACGUGGUGUGUUGUAGCACCUAUAAUACUAUUGCUUGUCGUGAUACUUAAAGCACUCCAGUAUGAGCCAAUAAAGUUAGGAUCCUAUGUUUAUCCUAACUGGGCCAAUGCUUUAGGUUGGCUUACUGUUCUGUUUUCUGUGUUCUUCAUACCUGGCUGGUGGAUGUAUUAUUUUAUAACAAAGGACA